rnacentral:rRNA from 1 species
AGCGAACGCUGGCGGCAGGCCUAACACAUGCAAGUCGAGCGCUCGUAGCAAUACGGGAGCGGCAGACGGGUGAGUAACACGUGGGAACGUGCCCUUUGGUUCGGAAUAACUCAGGGAAACUUGAGCUAAUACCGGAUAAGCCCUUACGGGGAAAGAUUUAUCGCCAAAGGAUCGGCCCGCGUCUGAUUAGCUUGUUGGUGGGGUAAUGGCCCACCAAGGCUACGAUCAGUAGCNGGUCUGAGAGGAUGAUCAGCCACAUUGGGACUGAGACACGGCCCAGACUCCUACGGGAGGCAGCAGUUGGGAAUAUUGGACAAUGGGCGAAAGCCUGAUCCAGCAAUGCCGCGUGAGUGAUGAAGCCUUAGGGUUGUAAAGCUCUUUUACCCGGGAUGAUAAUGACAGUACCGGGAGAAUAAGCCCCGCUAACUCCGUGCCAGCCGCCGCCGUAAC